rnacentral:tRNA from 1 species
GUCCCGUUCGUCUAGAGGCCCAGGACACCGCCCUUUCACGGCGGCAACACGGGUUCGAAUCCCGUACGGGACGCCA